AAUAAGUAUAGUUUUGUACUAUCCGUUCGUCUUAUUUGAAAUUUUUUUAUUAGUAUUUUUAUUACUAUUAAAUGAUAAAACAUAAAUAGUACUUUAUGUGUGACUAAAUAUUUUUAAAUUUUUCACAAAUUUUUCAAAUAAGACGAACGGUCAAACGUUGGGCACGGAUAUCCACAGCUGCACUUAUU
rnacentral:pre_miRNA from 1 species